rnacentral:rRNA from 1 species
UCAGCAGCCGCGGUAAGACAGAGGUGGCAAGCGUUGUUCGGAAUUACUGGGCUUAAAGGGCGCGUAGGCGGUGGUGUAAGUCUGGGGUGGAAUCCGGAAGCUUAACUUUCGGACUGCCCUGGAAACUGCAUUACUUGAGUCGGUGAGGGGAAGGCGGAAUUCCUGGUGUAGCGGUGAAAUGCGUAGAUAUCAGGAGGAAGGCCUGUGGCGAAGGCGGCCUUCUGGCACUUGACUGACGCUGAGGCGCGAAAGCGUGGGGAGCAAACAGGAUUAGAUACCCUGGUAGUCCACGCCCUAAACGGUGGGUACUAGGUGUGGGGCCCGCAAGGGUUCUGUGCCGAAGCGAAAGCAUUAAGUACCCCGCCUGGGGAGUACGGCCGCAAGGUUGAAACUUAAAGGAAUUGGCGGGGGA